rnacentral:lncRNA from 1 species
AUUCGUCCUCUGGUAACUGUAAAACCAAGAGAAAAACAGGAGUGUGCAUGCUUAUACUUUCCAGAACACGCUGAUCCAACACGCAGAGCCAAAGCUGGGUGCACACAUCCCCUCCCCACUUGGUGUCUGCCACCAAAGUUUUCAGUAAAAGUCUUUUUUUGGGGACACCGAUGGCUUGGAGCGCUGUGAGAUUGUCCAGCCCUGGCCUCGCCACCCCAGCCAAGCACCGCUCCUUUAACUCCUCUCCACCCAGCACUCUGGUUCGGGUUGUUAUCUCAGGGUGAGUAAUUAAUUCUCCUGAACAUCAGCAGCUGGUCCUGGGUGGGAGCCGUGCUGGGGAGAGCUGCGGCAGAGCAGAGGGCUGGGUUAUAAGAUGCGAGAACACCUGUCCUUGCCUCUCCUUUUCUCCCUAAAAUCUAUAAAGUGGGAGAGGGGAGGGCAGUGCCUGGGGUCCUUGCCCAGGGAAGGUGCUGUGGGUGAGACUGCUUCUCCCCUUUUAUAAGCUCCUGGCCUCGUCUCAGCUGCAUUGGACUGCACGAUGAAUGAUCUGUCCAAGGCUUCCUGGCGGCUGGGGGCAAAUCCAGGCGAGACGACUCUGGGCUCCAGGAGGGCUGCCUUGGUGAAGCAGGCUCUGCCCGGCGCAGCGAGCGAGGAGAGGGGUGCAGACCCAGCAUGUGCACGCAUCCAGCCCCACAUGUGUUUGGCUCGAGCUCUCCAGGUGUUCUCAGACUUCUCUGCCACAUGUUUUUUGGAGCCUCCCUUCUGGUACCCGUGGCCUCCUGGCAAUCUCACAGGAGAUUGUCCUUCAGGUGCUGAAUGGCUGGGAUAUGCCCCCUGGGGAAGACAGCACACGAGGUGUGGGAGCUGGCUCCGUGGUCCGGAUCCCAACCUGAAUGAUGCUGGAGAAGAGACCUCAGAACCACUGUCAGCACCUGCACCACAGCUGGGCAGUGGUGCUGAGCCCCCAGCGCUGCUCCUCCUGUGUUCUCGCCUUUGCCAAGGACCUGAUGACUUCGUCGUUGCUGCCAUCCCAAGGACAGGCUGCCAGAAGAUGCUGCAGGCACCGGAGGAUGCAUCCCAGAAGCAUGGGGGUGGCCUGUUGCUGAGGCUGCAGCAAAGCUUCCUGACCCCUGAUUUCCCCAGGCCACUGCCAACAGAGGGAUCUCUGUGAGAAGCACAGGUGAGCGUGGGAUGGAGAGGCUGAGCUGGACCACAGGGACUCUUGACCACCCUGCUGUCUGGGUGGGGGUAUCCUGCCUCCUCUCACGAGCUCUUAUGCCGCUGAGCGCUGUCUGCAUGCUCAGCGCUGUGCAGCACACCGCAGUGACGGCUGCCGCCGCUGCAAAGAUCCUGCAGGACAAAGGGAACAACAAAAGGUUCCUGCACCAGCGCUUUCCCCUCUUUUCUCUUUCCUUCCCUUUUGCCGCAACUUGGAAAGAGCGAAGUCGAGGGACUGCCAAAGCAGAGGAAAACAAGGCCAAGCGCACACAGAUGGUGAGCCCACAAAUUUAAUUUAAAAUCAUCCUUUAUUAUUCAAAAUAUUAAAAUUCAGGCAAUAAUGCCCAAAGGAACUGCACUGAUUAAAGUUCCCUAAUGUUUCAUGGCCAAAUCUUGCUGCUUCUUCCAAGGGUCACUGGGACAAGAAGUGAAACCCCUCUGGAGUGCAGAGAGAGGCAGGGCUGUACCUGCUGUAGAUCGUUUACCCAAACAGUUACUUACUGACCCAAUCAGCUUCACUUAAAGCAAAGCACCAGCUGUUCCUUACCCAAUUAAUGAUUGCCACAGCAAAUUAACAUGGCGUUACACCAGGCGUGGAUGUGGUCCGCAGAGUCCGGAAUGCACAGAGCAAUAUGCUAUUGCAAAAAUAAUCACAGUAAUAUCUUUACUGUUAGGUAGCAUCCUUCAUCUGGAAGGAUCGCAAGCUCCCUGUGCGCUAUAUGGCUCACUUCGUGCAACGUGCUCUGCAGUGAGGGUGCGGACAGCAGGAAGGAGGGUAGGUGGGGUACGUGGUUGCUGUUUCAAGGCAGAAUAAGAGGAACAGCCAGGGCAGCUCUACUGUGGUAGAGGCAGCAUUGACCACACACGUCCAGGUCUUGGUUCCUGCAAUCCAAACAAAUUGUUAUUUCAUUGGUUGUAAAUCUGCUGGACUCAAAAUGUACCUUGAUCACGCACCACGGACCUCUUUGAUGCCUCUCCCCCGUUGUGUGAUGUGACAGUUUGAUAGCACAGUGCUGUUGCAGGGAUUUUUGGGCCCUGGUCAGGGUCACAGUUCAGUGUCAGAGCCAUUCUGCUCUGGGAUGUGGCAGAUGUGGCAAGCACAGAGCCAGAUGGCCAGCUGCAGUGAGCACCCCUGGGAGGGAAGAGGCCACAAUGCUGGGCUGCAGAUGUGGGAAAGCCAAGCAUUGCCUCCCUGCUGAGCAUCCCCAGGUCAAGUGCUGCCUCUACAAUUCCUUCCUUGGUCCCUCUGUGCUGUAGGGCGCACACACAGGCUGCCCCUCGCCCUGUCCCUCUGUGGUGGUUCUGCAUCGUGGGAGCCCAACAGCAGCAGAGCAGAAUAACUGAGCCAGUCUCUUCUUCCAUCAAAGUCCAGUUUACACAAAGGUUAAGUCUAGUUCCUAAAUACUCAUCACAGCUUUGGCUCUGCUAUGAGCCUGUGCCUUUUAUGACCCAGACACAUUAACCCCCUUUAAGUUACAGUCCAGAUAGAUCAAUCAGCCUAGAGGGCUUUGGGACAAAGGUAUCUGGCGUUGAAGCAUUAAACUUUCCAAUUUUCCCACAAUUAAGCCACCGUCAAAUAUUAUUGACAAAUAAAGCAUGCCAUCAAAGCCCCGAGCUGCCGCCU